AGAGUUUGAUCCUGGCUCAGGAUGAACGCUAGCUACAGGCUUAACACAUGCAAGUCGAGGGGCAGCAUGGAAGAAGCUUGCUUCUUCUGAUGGCGACCGGCGCACGGGUGCGUAACGCGUAUCAAACCUGCCUCAUACUCGGGGAUAGCCUUGCGAAAGUAAGAUUAAUACCCGAUGUUGUUAUGUUACCGCAUGGUGAUAUAACCAAAGAUUUAUCGGUAUGAGAUGGUGAUGCGUCCGAUUAGGUAGUAGGCGGGGUAACGGCCCACCUAGCCUUCGAUCGGUAGGGGUUCUGAGAGGAAGGUCCCCCACACUGGAACUGAGACACGGUCCAGACUCCUACGGGAGGCAGCAGUGAGGAAUAUUGGUCAAUGGACGGAAGUCUGAACCAGCCAAGUAGCGUGCAGGAUGACGGCCCUAUGGGUUGUAAACUGCUUUUAUGUGAGAAUAAAGUUAGGUAUGUAUACUUAUUUGCAUGUAUCACAUGAAUAAGGACCGGCUAAUUCCGUGCCAGCAGCCGCGGUAAUACGGAAGGUCCAGGCGUUAUCCGGAUUUAUUGGGUUUAAAGGGAGCGUAGGCGGAUUAUUAAGUCAGUGGUGAAAGACGGUGGCUCAACCAUCGUUAGCCAUUGAAACUGGUAGUCUUGAGUGCAGACAGGGAUGCUGGAACUCGUGGUGUAGCGGUGAAAUGCUUAGAUAUCACGAUGAACUCCGAUCGCGAAGGCAGGUGUCCGGGCUGCAACUGACGCUGAGGCUCGAAAGUGUGGGUAUCAAACAGGAUUAGAUACCCUGGUAGUCCACACAGUAAACGAUGUAUACUCGCGGUUUGCGAUAGACAGUAAGCCGCCAAGCGAAAGCAUUAAGUAUACCACCUGGGGAGUACGCCGGCAACGGUGAAACUCAAAGGAAUUGACGGGGGCCCG
rnacentral:rRNA from 2 species